rnacentral:rRNA from 1 species
CGUAGGGGGCGAGCGUUAUCCGGAUUUAUUGGGCGUAAAGCGUGUGUAGGCGGUUUAUUAAGUUUAAGAUUAAAGCCCGAGGCUUAACCUCGGUUCGUCUUAAAUACUGGUAGACUUGAGUAUGGUAGAGGCAAAUGGAAUUUCUAGUGUAGCGGUUAAAUGCGUAGAUAUUAGAAGGAACAUCAGUGGCGAAGGCGAUUUGCUGGGCCAUUACUGACGCUGAGACACGAAAGCGUGGGGAGCAAAUAGGAUUAGAUACCCUAGUAGUCCACGCUGUAAACGAUGAGUACUAAGUGUCGGGAAACCGGUGCUGAAGCUAACGCAUUAAGUACUCCGCCUGAGUAGUACGGUCGCAAGACUG